GCGCCUGUAGCUCAGUGGAUAGAGCGCUGGUCUCCGGAACCAGAGGUCGCAGGUUCGAAUCCUGUCAGGCGCGCCA
rnacentral:tRNA from 1 species